rnacentral:rRNA from 1 species
AUUGAACGCUGGCGGCAUGCCUUACACAUGCAAGUCGAACGGCAGCACGGGAGCAAUCCUGGUGGCGAGUGGCGAACGGGUGAGUAAUGUAUCGGAACGUGCCCAGUCGUGGGGGAUAACGUAGCGAAAGCUACGCUAAUACCGCAUACGAUCUAUGGAUGAAAGCGGGGGAUCGCAAGACCUCGCGCGAUUGGAGCGGCCGAUAUCAGAUUAGGUAGUUGGUGGGGUAAAGGCCUACCAAGCCGACGAUCUGUAGCUGGUCUGAGAGGACGACCAGCCACACUGGGACUGAGACACGGCCCAGACUCCUACGGGAGGCAGCGGUGGGGAAUUUUGGACAAUGGGCGCAAGCCUGAUCCAGCAAUGCCGCGUGCAGGACGAAGGCCUUCGGGUUGUAAACUGCUUUUGUACGGAGCGAAAAGGCUCUCUCUAAUACAGGGGGCUCAUGACGGUACCGUAAGAAUAAGCACCGGCUAACUACGUGCCAGCCGCCGCCGUAACAC